AACGAACGCUGGCGGCAGGCUUAACACAUGCAAGUCGAACGCACCUUUCGGGGUGAGUGGCAGACGGGUGAGUAACGCGUGGGAAUCUACCCUUCUCUACGGGAUAGCUCCGGGAAACUGGAAUUAAUACAGUAUACGUCCUGCGGGAGAAAGAUUUAUCGGGGAAGGAUGAGCACGCGUUGGUUUAGCUAGUUGGUGGGGUAAAGGCCUACCAAGGCGACGAUCGAUAGCUGGUCUAAGAGGAUGAUCAGCCACAUUGGGACUGAGACACGGCCCAAACUCCUACGGGAAGCAGGAGUGGGGAAUAUUGGACAAUGGGCGCAAUCCUGAUGCAGCCAUGCCGCGUGAGUGAUGAAGGCCCUAGAGUUGUAAAGCACUUUCAGUGGGGACGAUAAUGACGGUACCCACAGAAGAAGCCCCGGCUAACUUCGUG
rnacentral:rRNA from 1 species